AACGAACGCUGGCGGCAUGCCUAACACAUGCAAGUCGAACGAGACCUUCGGGUCUAGUGGCGCACGGGUGCGUAACGCGUGGGAACCUGCCCUUAGGUUCGGAAUAACUCCCCGAAAGGGGUGCUAAUACCGGAUAAUGUCUUCGGACCAAAGAUUUAUCGCCUUUGGAUGGGCCCGCGUUGGAUUAGCUAGUUGGUAGGGUAAAAGCCUACCAAGGCGACGAUCCAUAGCUGGUCUGAGAGGAUGAUCAGCCACACUGGGGCUGAGACACGGCCCAGACUCCUACGGGAGGCAGCAGUGGGGAAUAUUGGACAAUGGGCGAAAGCCUGAUCCAGCAAUGCCGCGUGAGUGAUGAAGGCCUUAGGGUUGUAAAGCUCUUUUACCCGGGAUGAUAAUGACAGUAUCGGGAGAAUAAGCUCCGGCUAACUCCGUG
rnacentral:rRNA from 1 species